rnacentral:pre_miRNA from 1 species
AAUGUUUUUAAAACAUGGCAGUGUGUCUUUAGUUGUAUGGUGUUUCCAGACAACUAAAGACACACUGCCAUGUUUUAAUGUUUCCA